rnacentral:tRNA from 1 species
GGCGGUUCGGCCAGUUUUUAGUGAGACGAAAUAAAUGUCGCAGCAGACUGUAAAUCUGCCCGGUUUUCCGUACGCUGGUUCGAAUCCAGCCCUGUCCACCA